AUAGAUGUGAACUCAACAUUGCACCACGAAUUUGGUUACCAUAACCUUUGAUACUGUUCAUACUUGUUUUUAUACCAUAUCCUUGUUUUUAUACAUCAAAUUGAUCAUUCCCAUUUCCUCUCCCUGUUUAUUUAGGCUAUUGCUUGCUAAAUAGGCAUAGUGGAAAGCAUAAGAAGACGUGCAAAGAAAGAGAUCCAUCUGCACCAUUACCAAGCAGAAUCAUUUUGAAUUAAUAAACCUGAGAUUGCCUUUUAUGAAAUUCAUAACAUGUAGUAGCAAAGCAUCUUCAGUUUUUUAUCAUGAAUUUGUUUCAUAUAUGAAAUUUGUUUGAGUAGCUGAAUUCUUGAACUUACUAACAAAUCUUGCAAAUUAACAUUAGUGUUUGAUGAUUCUUUUAUGGCAGAUGCUUAGCGAGUCUGUAGUAAUGGCAGCGUUAUCCUAUCGGUAGCAGAUAGCAGAGAAGGCUAUCAGUUGCUCACAAUUAGCCCGUACGAAGGAUUAUGUUAACAUGGAUCCUAGGAUUCACUCUUUCUACUUUGUCUCCGUUUUAUUGGUGAUGUUAUCAUAUGAUCAUCGAGGUUCUAGAUUUCCUUUUAUGGCACUCGAGAUCAUGAUUUACUGCACCAUGAUGAUAUUCUAUAGGAUAAUCCCAGUGUCAACAUUUGCUUUCAGUUUUAUGAGCUGUUAUGUUUUGCGUUAAUGCCAUUGUGCAGGACUAAAAA